rnacentral:misc_RNA from 1 species
AUUGCUUCUAUUCUCUUGGCAUUUGGUUAUGCAGUUAUCUGCGUUCUAGCAUUCAGCGGAAGCACGCAGUUUCCGUGGAAGCUAGUUGAUGGGUUGUUUUGGUUAGUACAAGCAAUAGCUCAUGCAGUGAUUGCAAUCUUGAUCAUCCAUGAGAAGAGAUUUCAAGCUGUUACCCACCCACUUUCUAUUCGAAUUUAUUGGGUCGCAAAUUUCAUCAUCAUUACUUUGUUUAUGGCAUCUGGGAUCAUUCGUUUGGUUGCUCAAGACACCAACCUGAUAGUGGAUGAUAUAGUUUCUAUAGUUUCUUCUCCUUUAUCGAUUCUUCUUCUUUAUGUGGCC